AACAGUCUUUUUGGCUUCCCCUCACUUGCACUGAAAACGAAACUGACUUUCAAGCAUUACAGAAUUCAAACAAAAAAGUACUGGGAGCAUUCUAAUAAUAUGAAUGAUCUCUUAAAAUGGAUUAUAGACAUGAAAGACGAACUGGAGCUCUGUAUCACAGAAGGAGGAGCUGGGAGACAGAGAACAGAAGAGUGGUUUGGAAAGCUGCUACAGCACAUUCUGAUGGCAAGAAAUCCUAUUUCGCACUCCUUAAUUCCAAUCCGAUAGGAUCUCCUUGCAGUAAUUUGCUGCAGUUUAUCCAGUUCUUUUCCUUCUGUUGGCUCUUCAUUGACAAGCUAGAUGACAUGCUGUUACUUGAGUGAGGAAAUUACAAUUUGAUGCCAUAAUCUCAGAAAGAAAGAUUUUAUUAGGUAACAAACACAGUUUUAGAUUAGGUGCUUCUGCCUAAUGCAGAGAUUUAACAAUUCAGACUCCUGUGUACUGUAGAUAAACAUAGAGACAGCUGUAAGCUGACAGGUCAAGAACAAUAAUUGGAACCUCUUCUUAACCUUUGCCCAUUUUAUUAAAUUAACAUAAGCAGCAAUCUCUUCCAUGCACAUGAGGACUCUGUGUGCAACACUAGCAGAUAACCAUUAAGAGUGGGAAAAUGCCAUACAAUCUUUCCUCUUUUAGCCCAGGAAAUCAAUAACAGCAUGUCAGCAUGGAGUUAUGCCUUGUUUUAAUAAAUGAGUCACUUUGGAACACUUAUUAUAUAGCACAUAAGAUGUAAGAACAUAAAUGUAAUUAGCCAAGAAGUAUUUUACAAAUAUCUUCCAGCCAUGUUCACAUAGCACACUCAAAAUGAGUCUACUGUACAUGAACCAGAAAAAAUGGACUCACCUCAAAUCCAGAGCUGACUAACCUACAAUGUAUGAUUUCUAGAGAGUAUUCUAGAUUUUCUGGCCUUAACCCAAUUUUGCCUCAUUUUAGACAAAAUUGGAGGAUUCCCCAGAAUUUGCUGGAAACUACUGAGUAACAUCAUUGACUCUUUCAUUGUUUUUUUGUGGACAAAGUCACUCUGAUCCAUUCCAACCUGAACACCAUGUUAAAGGCAGACUGAAGAUGUAACACGAGCACCUGAUUGUCCGGUUUUAAUGGCUCCAUUUCAAUUUGUGCAGUCCGAGAACGGUGACAAGAUCCUUGGAGAAGCAAGGGCGAUCACAUGGAUCCUAGACCCCUGCCCAUCCUGGCUCAUAAAGGAAGCCAGAGGGAGUUUGGCAGAGUGCGCAAAGGAGGUGGUUAAUCCCUCUUUACAGGAAGACAAGAUUCCAGCAGGCCUAAAGGAGGCUGUCAUCAAACUGCUGUUGAAAAAAAAAAACAUCACUGGAUCCCACUCAAUUAGUCAACUUUCAGCCAGUUUCCAAUCUCCCAUAUUUAGGCAAAGUCUUGGAACAUGUGGUGGCCUUGCAAGGGCAGGUGUUCUUGGAAGAAACUGAUUUUUUGGAUCUGUCACAGUCUGGCUUUAGGCUGGGAUAUGGAACUGAAACAGCCUUGGUCUCCUUAGUGGAUGAUAUACGCCAGGAACUAGACAGGGGGAGUGUGUCCCUGUCCCUGUUGGUUUUGCUGGACCUCUCAGUGGCCUUCGCUAAUGUAGACCACAGUAUCCUUCUGAGAUGCCUUGUGGGAGUGGGAUUGGAUGCACUGUUCUGCAGUGGCUCCGGUCCUUCUUGGAGGGUAGUUCUCAGAAGGUGUUGUUGGGGAACACCUGCUUGGUCCCGCAGUCAUUGUCUUGUGGGGUCCUGCAAGGUUUAGUAAUGUCCCCCAUGUUGUUUAACAUCUACAUAAAGCUGUUGGGAGAGAUCAUCCAGAGUUUGGGAGUUCGACUCUAUCACUUCUUUCCACCUGCUACUAAGGAGGCUGCUCAGGUUCUGAACCAGUGCUUGGCCACUGCGAUGGUCUGGAUGAGGGAGAACAAAUUGAAAUUGAAUCCAGACAAGACAGAGGUCCUCCUAGUCAGUCAUAAGUCUGAACAGGGUAUAGGGUUCCAGCCUGUGUUGGACAAGGUUACACUCCCCUUGAAGACACAGGUUCGCAGCUUGGAAAUUCUCCUGGACACAUUGCUGAGCCUGGAACCUCAGGCUUCAGUGGUGACCAGGUGAGCUUUUGCACAAUAAAAACUGGUGUGCCAGUAGUGCCCGUACCUUGGAAAGUCAGGCUUGGCCACAGUGGCAAAUGCUCUUGUUAUGUCUUGUGUAGACUACUGCAAUGCACUCUACAUGGGGUUGCCUUUGAAGAUGCCCCAGAAGUUUCAACUAGUCCAUCAGGUGGCAGCCAAAUUUCUAACUGGGGCAGUGUUCAGGGAGGCUACUCUUCCUCUAUUACAUCAGCUCCACUGGCUGCCAGUCUGCUACCCAGCACAAUUAAAAUUGCUGGUCUUGGUCUAUAAAGCCCUUUACGGUUCUGGUCCAACUUAUCUGCCCAAACACAUAUCCCUCUAUGAGCCUAUAAGAGCUUUAAGAUAGGCUGGGGAGACCCUUCUCUCUGUUCCAUCACUUCACAAGCACGAUUGGUUGGGACAAGAGACAGGGCCUUCUCAGUGGUAGCCCCUCGGCUAUGGAACCCUCUCCCCAGUGACAUCAGGCAGGCCCUAUCCAUCCUGGGUUUUAGAAAAAACUGUAAACCUGGCUUUUCUCGCAGGCAUUUGGUGAAUAGGAAACUGCGGAAUGAGACUUUAACAGCUUGAAUAAUGGACUAUGGAUUUUGGAAAACAUUUUCGACAGGAGAUCAUGACUUGGUAUUUUAUAUGGUUUAAUCUGUUUAAUUGAUUGUGUUUUAAUAGCUUAUAUGUUUAGAUUGUUUAUAUUUCGAUGAGAUAUGUUUUAUUGUUUACCUGUGCAUGACUGAAUCUUUCCCGGAUUUGUAAGCCUCCUUGAGUCCCCUCUGAGGUAAGGGAAGGUGGGAUAGAAAUGAAGUAAAUAAAUAAAUAAAUUUAAUGGAUAAGGUUGACAAUGACUAUUUUAUUGUAUUUAUUGAAGAGCUAUAUUUUUAUACCUUAUACAGUUUAACUGUUUGAUUAUAUAAUCACUAUGCUUGAUUGUUUCCUAUUACCAGCCAAUGUCUUUUUUUUAAACUAUAUGUUUAAAUGUGAGAAUGUUGAUUUGAUGGCAUUGAAUAUUUGCCAGUUUUA